AAGUUUGAUCCUGGCUCAGAUUGAACGCUGGCGGCAUGCUUUGCACAUGCAAGUCGAACGGCAGCGCGGGCUUCGGCCUGGCGGCGAGUGGCGAACGGGUGAGUAAUACAUCGGAACAUGCCCAGUAGUGGGGGAUAGCUCGGCGAAAGCCGGAUUAAUACCGCAUACGACCUGAGGGUGAAAGCGGGGGAUCUUCGGGCCUCGCGCUAUUGGAGCGGCCGAUGGCAGAUUAGCUAGUUGGUGGGGUAAAGGCCUACCAAGGCGACGAUCUGUAGCUGGUCUGAGAGGACGACCAGCCACACUGGGACUGAGACACGGCCCAGACUCCUACGGGAGGCAGCA
rnacentral:rRNA from 1 species